rnacentral:rRNA from 1 species
UACGAAGGGGGCUAGCGUUGUUCGGAAUUACUGGGCGUAAAGCGCACGUAGGCGGAUCGAUCAGUCAGGGGUGAAAUCCCAGGGCUCAACCCUGGAACUGCCUUUGAUACUGUCGAUCUGGAGUAUGGAAGAGGUGAGUGGAAUUCCGAGUGUAGAGGUGAAAUUCGUAGAUAUUCGGAAGAACACCAGUGGCGAAGGCGGACUAACUGGUCCGGUACUGACGCUGAGGUGCGAAAGCGUGGGGAGCAAACAGGG